CUUUUGUUGUGGCAAGUUUGGUUCUAUGUAUGAGAUGGUUCUCUGGACUAUGAAACUAGUAUACUAUAUACAAGUUCACUUUAAAGUUACAUUUGUAUGAUUACUAUGUUUAUAUUUGCGCUUCAUUAUUAAUGUUGAUUGGUGGUUCAGAAGUUUGGGCCUAUUUUUAUAGGAGCUGUAUCCAAACACCAGAUUUUGAUUUCCACACUUAGGCACAAGCUUGCUCAGGCUUCAAAAAAUUUCUGGCUCCGCCACUGCUAGAUGAUGCAAGAGUAGUACUAACUUAGGAGUAGUAGAUACGCUAGAUAAUGCUCCAUUUCAAACUAGAUAAUGCUCCAUUUCAAACUAGAUAGUGCUGACAGAGAUGACGAUGGACAAUGUGAGUCUGCCUUGCCGAUAUUUUCACUUAGGCCUUCUCGGCAUGGCUUCUUGCAGGCCUCCCCUCCAACUCCCCUCCCUCUUUCUCCAUGCUAUGCAGCACCACCUCUUUGUGCUCACAUUGGAUGUAGCUACCAAGCCCUAACCAACCCUGAUGGCCCAUCGUGGUGGCUGCAGAGCUCAUUAGAGUGUAGAUUGGAUACACCGUGUUUCAACUGCAACUUUUUUGAGUAACAAGAAGUUUAUUUUCUAGCUUCUGUAUCUGCUCCCAAUUUAUUUUUACACCUUAAUAAUCUACUUCUAUGUAUGCAGCUGGAAGUGGAUAAGUCUGGCAAAAGCAACAAUGCGAUCACGUGCUAGUCUCGAGGGAUUUCUCAAAGAUACACAAGCUGAUGGUGGUUCGGAAGAUGUACAAGUUGCUGGAGGUUUGGAAGAUCUACAAGUUGCUGGAGUGACAAUAUAUAUGUAAUAUACCUUAGUUGUUGAACCUUGAGACAUCGGCAAGUUUUAUACUGCAUUUGGUUGGUUGUUUCAGCACACAAGCCAUUGUAUGCUUAUUUUGGUUGUGUGGCACGAUUUCUUUAGCUUAAACAUAUUUACUUUGCCUUCUGAGGCACAAUGUCAUUAGAAACGUAUAUUUUUAUCUGUUUUAUGUUAUUGAAUGAGGCCUUACAUGUAAUCUGAUUGAGUUGUAUGUAUAAGUUUUGUGAUC